rnacentral:rRNA from 1 species
ACGGGGGGAGCAAGCGUUGUUCGGAAUCACUGGGCGUAAAGGGCGUGUAGGCGGUCAGGUAAGUGAGAUGUGAAAUGCCUCGGCUCACCCGAGGACCGGCAUCUCACACUGCUUGGCUUGAGUACGGGAGAGGACGUGGGAAUUCCUGGUGUAGCGGUGAAAUGCGUAGAUAUCAAGAGGAACACCUGAGGUGAAGACGGGUUGCUGGGCUGACACUGACGCUGAUGCGCGAAAGCCAGGGGAGCAAACGGGA